AGGAGAAGAAAAGGAGAA
rnacentral:miRNA from 1 species